rnacentral:rRNA from 1 species
UUCUGGUUGAUCCCGCCGGAGGUCACUGCUAUUGGGAUUCGACUAAGCCAUGCGAGUCGAGAGGGUUCGGCCCUCGGCAGACGGCUCAGUAACACGUGGAUAAUCUGCCCUUAGGUGGAGGAUAAUCUCGGGAAACUGAGGAUAAUACUCCAUAGAUCUAGGAUGCUGGAAUGCACUUAGAUUAAAAGUUCCGGCGCCUAAGGAUGAGUCUGCGGACUAUCAGGUAGUAGUCAGGGUAAAGGCCUGACUAGCCUACGACGGAUACGGGUUGUGAGAGCAAUAACCCGGAGACGAUAUCUGAGACACGAUAUCGGGCCCUACGGGGCGCAGCAGGCGCGAAAACUUCACACUGUGCGAAAGCACGAUGAGGGAAUCCCAAGUGCUUGCUCGUAAGAGUAAG